rnacentral:rRNA from 1 species
UGCGGUUAUACAAAAAUUAAAUUAAUUUUUUUUUAGGAUUUAAUAAAUAAAAAUUAAAUUAAUAAUUUAAAUUUUAAAUUAUAAGGUGAAAUUUUAAUUUAAUUAAAAUUUAUUUAUUUUUAUGACAUUAAUAAAUUUUAUAAAAAACUAGGAUUAGAUACCCUAUUAUAAAAAUUUAAAUUUAAUAAUCUUAAAAUAGUAUAUAAUUUUUUAUAGAAACUUAAAUAAUUUGGCGGUAUUUUAGUUCAUUUAGAGGAAUCUGUCUAAUAAUUGAUAAUCCACGAUUAAAUUUACUUAAUUUUUAAUUUUGUAUAUCGUUGUUAAAAAAAUAUUUUUAAAUAAUUAUAAUAUUUUAAAAUUUAAAUAAAAAAUUAAAUCAGAUCAAGAUGCAGAUUAUAAUUAAGAAUAUGAUGGAUUACAAUAAAAUUUAUUUUUUGGAUAUUAAUUUGAAAUAAAUUAGUUGAAAUUGGAUUUAAAUGUAAUUUUAUAAAUUUUAAUAAAAUGAUUUUAAAUUAAAAUAUGUACAUAUUGCCCGUCGCUUUCAUUUAUAAAUUGAAAUAAGUCGUAACAAAGUAGAAGUACUGGAAAGUGUUUCUAGAAAGAU